rnacentral:rRNA from 1 species
AACGAACGCUGGCGGCAGGCCUAACACAUGCAAGUCGAACGCCGUAGCAAUACGGAGUGGCAGACGGGUGAGUAACACGUGGGAACAUACCCUUCGGUUCGGAAUAACUCAGGGAAACUUGAGCUAAUACCGGAUACGUCCGCGAGGAGAAAGAUUCAUCGCCGGAGGAUUGGCCCGCGUCUGAUUAGCUUGUUGGUGAGGUAACGGCUCACCAAGGCGACGAUCAGUAGCNGGUCUGAGAGGAUGAUCAGCCACAUUGGGACUGAGACACGGCCCAAACUCCUACGGGAGGCAGCAGUGGGGAAUAUUGGACAAUGGGCGCAAGCCUGAUCCAGCCAUGCCGCGUGAGUGAUGAGGCCUUAGGGUUGUAAAGCUCUUUCGGUGGGGAAGAUAAUGACGGUACCCACAGAAGAAGCCCCGGCUAACUUCGUGCCAGCAGCCGCCGCCGU